UUAACAAUGGAUCUCUAGGCUCUCACAUUGAUGAAGAACACAGUGAAAUGUGAUAAGUAAUGUGAAUCGCAGAAUUCAGUGAAUCAUCAAAUCUUUGAACGCACCUUGCACCUUUUGGUAUUCCAAAAGGUACACCUGUUUGAGUG
rnacentral:rRNA from 2 species